CUGAGCUGGGGCUAAAACAGCUACAUGAUCUCAUCCUCCAAAUUAGUCUAGUCUUGACUUCUUAACAGUUUGAAGUGAGGCUCCAAGAAGUGCUCUGAGAGAACAAGCUCCACUGUGAACAAGCUUAUGAAGGCUCUUCGUUAGGGUCAAGGCUGAAGAGACCACUCAAGAGGCCAUGUGGGAGGGAACUGAAGCCCCCUGACAACAGCCAUUUGAGUGAACUUGUAAGUGGACCCUUCAGCUCUAAAUGACUGCAGCCCUGGCCAACACCUUGACCACAGCCUGUAAGAGACCUGAGAUAGAACUAUCCAGCUAAGAUGUCUUCUUUCAGGAAGUCCUUCUGGACCUGCACUCUCCAUCCUGAGCAGGUUUACAUGCUCCUACUCUGUGCUUCAUAAAAUCCUGAGAAUUAGCUUCAUCACUGGACUACAGGAUAGAUCUAGAAUAAUAUGUUUUUUAUGUGAGCUUGUGAAGUGACUGCUACUGAGUUUGGAAUGUUACUGUUUCAUCCUGAAAGACAGUGUUCUCUCCUGAGGUCUGGAGAUUGACAUUUCUGUGGACUUAAUCUAUAUGUCCAAGGACACUUCAAAGGUUAAGCAAAUUCUAUUU
rnacentral:lncRNA from 1 species